rnacentral:lncRNA from 1 species
UGGGUUAAAAAUCUCUAACUCCUUCGUUGCCUCCCUCACUCAUCUGCCACUCCCUUUCUCUUUCUCUUUGCUCCCUCACGCCAAUGACGCCACUGAUCUCAUUUGUUUGCCUCAACCACUAUUCUUCUCUCUGUUGCCUCGCCGGUCGCCGGAGUUUCUACCGUCAUGGCUUCCCAGGUAAGUCCCUUUCUCGUUCUAACCCCUUUUCAAAAUUUUAUUAGUGUUUUACUAAUGAAUAUUAUUUUUUAAUUUAGGUUAAUGACUUUUGUUUGUUGUUUCUUAAAUCUUGAAUUUGUAGAAUUUAGAAAUGUAGUCUGUAGAUUAUUGAGUUUUCUAGCUCAUUUGCUUUGAUAAACUUAUGAAAAAUAAUUGUUGAUUUUCCUUUUUUAGAAUUGAGAUACUUUGGCUCGAUCAUGGAGGCUAAAAGCUUCUUUAUAGAUAUUUGUUGUUCUUUUUGCAUCCGAGAUGUUAUUGAUAAAGACUCUUCAAGUUUUAGCAUGAUUGGUUUGUUCAUGAAUAAUAAAUAUUCAUAUUUUUCAUUAUUUAUAAAAAAUAAUAAUAUUAUCAACAACGAUAUUGAUUAUUAAAUAGCUAAUCUAUCUGAAGAAACGAAUCCAUGCUAUUAAACUUCUUUUACAUAUGUCAGUUAUAAAUUAGGAUUCACUAAGCAAGAUACUUUGGGACUAUAUACAUUUUUUGCGUUUAAUAUUUAUAAUGCGGGUUUAUUCAAUUACUUUUUGAGCGCCAAUGAUUUAGUGACAGAGUCAGAAUAUGAAAGGAUUGCAAAAAUUUUAAAAAUUAAAUAUACAAUGAAGCCAGCCAAAAACAAAAAAGAAAGGUAAACAGAUUUCAUUAAUAGAAAGAGAAGUCUCAGCACAAAUAUAGUGUUAAGAUAAACAGAUUAUAGUAACAAGGCUUUCAAAAGAGACAAUAAACAAGACUUAUGUUAGUUACAAAGACUUAAUGAUUACAACAAAAAACAACUAUGUACAUUAUUAUUACAACUGCAUUCGACGGGGUCUCAUAAAUGUUUUAAUAAUAACAUCAUUAGAAACAAUAUCAAACAAAAAAUCGCUAAAAAUUUCAUCAUUCAUUCUACUUCGUAAGUCAUUCUUGAUAAAAUUUAUGGUCCGAAAAGCUCUUUCAACGAUUGUAGUAGCAACAGGCAGAAGCAAAGCAAAUUUCACUAAGCGAAAUAUAAGAGGAUAAUAAAAAUUUCAUAACAUCACGAACAUCAAUGAUAUAACUUGCAAGCUGAUUUUCAAGAGUACCUAUACUAAAUUCAUCAAAGUCAUUAGAAUAUAACUCAACCAUUCUCAUUAUUUUCCUUAUGUUAAAACUUAAGAAUGAGUUAAUUGGAUUCACACAAGCAAUCCCAUGAAGCAAAUAAGUUGUCAUUUCGUCAAAAUGUUCAUUACGUUUUAUGAAUUUGUCAAUCAAUAUUUUACAAAAUACUUCAACUCGAUAAUGACACGAGACUGUACAAUCAGAAGAUUUACAGCGUGAUUUUAAAGAACUUACAUAUGGCUAAUUAAAGUAAGGUAUCAAAAUAUCAUAUUUGACAUAAAAUGAAGAUGUCUUAGCAAUAAUAAAUUCUCAUUCCGUUUCUCUUAACUUUUGCAACCUUUACUUUGCUACUUUAACAAGUAGCAUGCUGUUUGCAAUAUCUUGCUCUUUUUUGUGUAAGUAUUUAUUGAGCUUAUUUCUGAUUGCUAAAAUAUCUCUCAUCAAAUGUAACAUAAAUAUAACCUCAAAUAUUUGACAAGCCCUGAGAUAUCCCAUUGCUAUUACUGAAUCAAAGGACUUACAGGAGCUGAUCGUAGAAGAGCUGAUCGGAUUUUUGAAGACCUGUGAGUUGAAAAAAAUGAUAAACAGUGAAAGAAGAGAACCAAAAAAGAAAAAGAACCUGGUACUUAAAGCUGAUUACAAUGAUUCAAGUGAGGAUGACAAUGACAUGGAUUACCUAACCAAAAGAUUUCAGAAGAUGGUCAGAAGAAAUGGAGAAAUGCUAAAAAAAGAUAGUUCUAACAGACCAAGAAACUGUGAUCUUUGUUACAAGUGUGGAAAGCUUGGUCACUUCAUGAAAGACUGUCCUCUCUUGAAGCAAUAAUUCUCUAAGAACCAUCAUGAGAAAAAACCUAAGACGAACCUGGUUCUUGUUAGAAAGGUUUGAUUUAUUGAUUAAUCGAUUUUUUUCCUUUCAGUUUUUGAAGAUAGAAAGGUUUACAUCAGAAAGUAAGACAAUAAGGUAAAACAUUCAGGUCACACCCUGAGAUAAUUCGUAUGUAGAAAGGAUAGCAAGACUGGCUACUAAGACUCCCGUCCGAUGAGGAACUUUCAUGUUUGGCGAUAUUUGGCUUUUCUUCUAUUUCGGCAAUGGCUGCAAUGGCCUUCAGUGCCAAAUCAAAUUCCUCAGCUUCACAAAUCAUCUCGACUAUUGGCCCGAUGUUAUGGGCAGGCAACAGAUUGUUCAUCACAUCAUGAGCUUCUUCAUCCCGAAAAAUAAUUCUUUUAGCUUCAAUCAAAUCUUCAAUUACCCUUUUGAGGGUCCAACAGUCCUCUGUAUUAUGUCCGACUGCUCCAAAGUGGUAUUCACAUAUAGAAUAAGCUCGGUGCAUAUGAGACUUGGGGUUCGACCGAUUCGAGGUCACUUGUUGCAAUAGAUCUAGCCUGAUUAGCUUUUGGAACAAGCUUGAAUACGAUUCACAAAAUAGGGGUGAACUGAUUCUUUCUGAAAGGUUCUCUUGGGCGAGAAUUGUAUUGGGGAUCAUUUGGUUGAGGAUUAUAUGGAGCUUGGUAAGGAUAAACAUUUUUGGGUGGUGGAGCUUGGUUUUGUGUAUAGUAUUGUGGUUGAGUGUAAGAUUGUGCGCUCAUCACCGUAUAGGGAGGCAGUGCCACAACAUAUGCAGCAUCUAUGAGAGGAUAAUAAUAUUGACGGACCACAGGGAGGCUCAUAUGACUGCCUGAAUGACCCGCGGGGCCCCCUCGAGAUUGAAACCAUCAUGGCCUGAAUGACCCGCGGGGCCCCCUCGAGAUUGAAACCAUCAUGGCUUCCUCCUCACUCCCAUUUCUGUUCAUCAAACUCUCCGAACCAUUUUGAAUAUCUGGUGAUGUGGCUUUAAAAGCAGCAUGACUCAGGAUUCAGCUCGUUUUUAAAUCGUUUUCAACCAUUUCCCAAUUUUGAUAGCCUCAGCGAACGGCUUCCUACAAUUUGACAUUAUAUUCUGAAAGUAGUCAGCCUCUUGCGCCUGCAGAAAAAUCGUGUCCAUUUCAAUUUCGUCCAUUGGAGGCUUUACCCUGGCAGCUUGCUCACGCCAUUUGACGGCAUAUUCAGGAAAGCUUUCCACGGUUUUCUUUUUCAAAUUGGACAAAGAGUUUCUGUCGAGAGCGAUGUCCACAUUAUAUUGGAAUUAGCGGACAAAAUCUCGGGCCAUAUCGUCCCACACGUGCCAAUGGAUAAUUUCUUGAUCUAUAUACCACUCAAAAUUGAUUCCAGUAAGCGAUUCCAGUAAGGCUCCUCUUUUCCAGCACCCAGUCAUUCUCUAACCAAAUAAAGUGCUCACACCAUUUCAAGUGAUGUGAUCAAGAUGUACCUACAAUGAGUUUAUACAAAACAUCACUUGAAAGUUUCAGUUUCUCAUUCAAGCUCCUUGCCAAAAUAGAGAAAUCAAUCCUCACAAGCUUGAAGAACAAAGUUGAACGCAACUACAGACCAAUUCCUAAAAGGCAACUUGUUGUUGUCCUAGUUGAGUUGUAAUUUUGUGAUUAUACUUAUUGUAUUUCCUAAUGUGCUUAGCUAGAAGAGUUUGAUUAGGAAUCCUCUUGUAAAUCCAUAACUCCUUGAGUUUAUGUUGUGACUAGAUUUAGUCAUAAGCAAAAGUCUUUUAAUUUUAGAUUUACAAUGUGGCUUGUGGUGAGAGAAUCACAAGUUAGUAAAAGCCUUUGUAACUAGAAAGUCACAAAGUUGCUUGUGGUAAGAGUACCACAAGUUAGUUGAGAAAAUCCGUUGUAAUGGAGUUAUUGCAAAGUGGCUUGAAUAGGUCCUUUACAAGUUAGUGAUGUUAAAGCGUUUGAUUAGGAAUCCUCUUGUAAGUCCGUAAACUCGUUGAGUUUAUGUUGUGACUAGAUUUAGUCAUAAGCAAAAGUCUUUUUAAUGAAGAGUUACAAAGUGGCUUGUGGUGAGAGCACCACAAGUUAGUAAAAGCCUUUGUAACUGGGAAGUCACAAAGUGGCUUGUGGUAACAAGUUAGUUGAGUAAAUCCUUUGUAAUGGAGUCAUUGCAAAGUGUCUUGUAAUAUGUUCUUUACAAGUUAGUGAAAUUAAAAACCUAUAGGUGUAGGUCUUGAUUUUUGUAAUAUGUUCUUUACAAGUUAGUGAAAUUAAAAACCUAUAGGUGUAGGUCUUGAUUUUUUGAUUCCCUUGUGUGAGAUUUUUUCAUGUAAAAAUCCUCUUCCUUAUUUACAUACUGUUCUAUUAGCAUUCUCAGCAGAAUCUUGUAGAGGACCAGGUACUUUAUAGUUUGGUGGACUCACACAAAUUAACAUUAAGCAAGAUUCAUACUUUUUAAAAAUAAUAAAAAUAAAUAAUUAAGUGUUGGCUUGCCUAACAACGAUGUUGGGUGCCAUCAUGGCCUAUAGUGAAUUUUGGGUCGCGACACUUUCCAAUAGUGCCUUAACUGUAGUAUAGCAAUUCCAAUAAUGUCAAACCUCAAUGACGUAAAAUAGUUCAAGACUUAGUUGAGAACCAAAUCUUAUAAAACUAUUUUAAUAGCUUGAACUAGAAAUUAGCACCAAACCAAAGCAAUAGAGGCACUGACGAUAGACAACACCUAAACCCGACAAGUUGAAUGCCGGAAUAUAACUUAUAUAUAACGUUUAUAUAUAUAAGGUACAACAUCAUACAACUUAUCUAUAACGUUUAUAUAAAUUUUAUACAAAUAUGUUUUAUGUAUGCAUUUGCAUAUGAUUUGCAUAUAUUUUUUGAAUGUGGUGUAUUCUUCUUCUUCUCUGAAAUGCCAAUCAAAACUUUUCCUCUUAAUAUAAUUUUGAUACAUAUCAACAACUUUAUGUAAAAAGAAAGUAUUUAUAGCUUAAAUACAAAUUUCAUACAAUGAUUCAUAUAUUAUACAACUAUUUUCAACUUCAUACAAUAAUCAAAUAUAAAAAAGUAACUACAACAUAAUACAAUUUGAAUCACUAUACUCAUCCUCGAACAACGGAUGAUUUGUAUUUUUGAGGACUCUACAUCCAUAGGAUCAUCAAUUUGAUGGUUUUCUUGAAGUGAUGGCUUCUUCUAGGCAUGGAGAAGGAUGGAGAGGGUUUGGUUUUGGCCAUCAGUAUGAGAGAACAGAUAGAGAGAAUGUCUUCUUUUGAGAGAAAUGGAGAUAUGAUCGAGAGAGGAGAGGUUAAAAAGGGGUGAAUGGAUGCCUUGAUUCUUGGAAAGAUGUGCGGAAGACAACUUUUAGUUGCCUUCUGCAAGCCCGUUGUUAGUCCAGUCAUAAAAUGCAUGUACAUGGUAAUCAAGUAGUUAGAGAUUUUUAGGGCGUAAAUUACGAAGAACAAUUAUGGAAAAUUUUCUAAACUAGAUAAAUUUAGAGAAAUUAAAUGGGAAUCAAACAAAUACCGAUUUUGUCAUGUAGGAAACCGAAUCUUUCUUUAAGAAGUACUUUUCUAAAAUAUUUGCUAACUGAUUUUCAGUAUUGACAAAUUCUAAACGAGAGUUCAAUAGGUUAGGCUCGUGCUCGGUUACAGCAAGAACAAUGUCCUAGACUUCAGCCUAUUUUAGCCUUAGCUUCAUCGAAUCUAACCCUAAGCGGGACAAUUUCUUGGCUAAGGUUCACCACCUCUAGGUCGCUUUGCUGCAAGCGAGCCUCUAAAACAACUGCAUCAAUGGCUUCCGUUUCUAAUUUCGAGAGGCGGAGAACAGUUUGAUCCCAUUCUACCAAAAGUUGAUCCCGCGCAAAGGUGAGUUUCUCCUUCUCACGGAUCAAUCUCUGAAGGCCUUCGGAAGCAAGAAAGUAGAAGAAAUUACAAAAGAAGAAAGGAAUGCACCGAUGUAGCAUUAUGUAUGGCAUUGUUUAUAGAACACUCUCAGAGAGUGCUUGGACCUUUUCUCAAUCUUUAUCUGAAGCCAGAAGCUUCAGAUAGUUAUCAAGCUCCACUAGCCGAGAAAUCAGGUUGUACCUGCCAGAGAUCGAAAGAGUAACAUUUCUGCUCCCAUAUGGAUCAUCAAAAGGGGCAGCAUAACUUUCCCCCAAAUUCCCAUGAACUGGGGACUAGGGAAAGAGGAACACCUUCUUCAUGAUCAUGUGCGGCUGGCGGAGAUGAUGUAGCAAUUGCUGCCGGAAGAGUUGAUGAAGAUGGAAAUGGUGUAGCAAUUGCUGGUGGAAGAGUUGAUAAAGAUGGAGAUAAAGCUGAUGGAUUCAAAGAACAAGAAACAAUGAUAUCAAAUACAACACUGAUAGAUGGAUGCUCCCCAACCAAGGACGGAAUGGAUUCGGUACUCGGGCCCAGAGUACCAGGUAUAGAAGCAUGGACCCGGUAGUGAGAGUUUGCAUUUUCUACCAAAUCAGACUCCCCUAGAGCGUCGAGGCGUCAUCCUUGAUUGGAGCAGUUAACUCAGUAGAUGGAGCAUUCUGUUAAGCUGAUGAUGAACAUUUUCUUUUGUGUGGUGAAGCCCCAUCAUUACUGGCUUCUCCAUUAUCGUCGACCACGAUGGUGUCUAUGAACGGCCUGGGAGAAAAGUUAGUGAUCACGACUUCUGGAGACUUCUCGAGGGCAAUAGUCUUCGUCCUUUUAUUCUUUUCCUCGACCGAGGAAUGCCACUUUCUUUUUGGUUGCUUGUUCUCCGGCUGGGGACUCCGUAAUGAAAUGCAUGUGCACGAAGUAGGCCCAGAGAUACCUAUUCGAGUAAGUGCUUCCUGAAGCAGCCUUGCUGCAUCAGCAGGGUCAACCAAGACGUCUUCCUCGGGGACAGUAAUAGAGCCUGCUGGUAGACCUAAUUCCAGGAACAAGUCAGAAGUGUUCAACCAAGUUCUUCACAUUAAAAUAAAAGCAAGGUAAGUUCAAAUUACCAUAAUUUUUGGCCUUCCAUCCAUAUUUAAGGGACAAACCUUCCAUAAACGUGUUUCUGGCAUCAUGACAUCCAAGAUCUUUUAGACCCACCAGUCCAAGUUUUCCACCACCAAUAGGACCCAUCGAGUUGCUGAAACACAUGACGAGAUGAAGAGUUAAUAUAGUCACAAAGGAAUAUUUAGCAAAAGAAAUAUACUGAAUGAAGGUCUUACGAGUAUGAUUCCAAGUGUCUGGAAAGGGUGAUGCCAUUGACGGAAUAAUAUUAUUAGUGGCAAUUAUGACGAAUCUCUCCGUCCACCCACAAUCGCUGUCAUCAUCCAUGCAGGUCAAUAGAGCAUGGUGUCCAUGCUUGCAGAGGUUUAUCAAUCCCCUACAAAAAAAUCUUAGGAGAAUAGAGGUUCAUCAUAUGAGCUAAGGUUAGCUCUUCUCCAGUCUCCUGGCAUAGACGCCGAAGACAUGCAAUUGUCCUCCACACUGAAGGGCUUACCUGUGCCAACCAUACUUGGUAGCGAAGGCAAAACUCCGUAAUCACGGAAUAUAUCUCUCCGCAUAAAGGGAUACGUGUAAAAAUAUGUAAAACCUUCCCUAGGAAGGGUCACUCGCUCUGAUAGAUCAUGAGCAAUGAUGUCCAACUCGUGGAAAUGGAGGUCUUUCUUCGCAGUAGGAACACUGGACGAGCGAAUUGAAGAAGGAUACAUACAGAUAGCCCAUCAACGAGGGUUAGUAGUAGGGAAUUUCUCUUCAAAAUCUUUUGUGGUGUAAGACUUCGGGGGAUGAUGGACCUAUCGUUGGAGGAGCAGAUCCUUAGUCUUGUUAUUUUUCUUUGAAGAGCCAGCGUGGUUGGAAGAAAAAGCCAUUGAAUAAGAGGAAGGAAAAGGGUUUUGGUUCGAAGAAAAUUGGGGAAAGGAUGGAAAACAAAGAUACAAGUUAAAAGUUUGAGAAAUUAUGAAGUACAUAGGAGAAAGGUGAUGCGUAUAAGUAAAAUUUUGGCGGCUAAAUUCACGGCCAUGAUUACCUCGAUACUCGGCAAAGGUUGUGCCGAAUUGUGGGAUGACACGUGUUCGGAACAUUAAAUGCAGAGAGAUGUGCGUCUAAUUAACUGUCAGAGGCCUGUAAAGAGAAUUAUAAUAAUUUCUGCCAAAAAGAGUAUUUCUACCAAUUUCCCUGGUAACACAAGAUUGUGUCACCGGAAAGCAAAGUGACUAUCUGUAUAAGGAAAAAUAUGAUAUGACACGUGGUCAUCUAAAGGAAGAUCACGUGGAACUCAAGACGGAGAUGGUCAUCGAACGCAGCUAUUCCGCUUGUCACAGGGAGAGAAUGUUCAUAAAGGUGUAUUGAAUGUUUUGCUUCCGGUAGCAUUUAAUAGAGAAUAUUCUGCAGUAUUAAGAACGGCAACCCGUUACAAGGAAUUUGACAUUUAUUUCCACUUUUACACCUUCAUCAAUGAACAUCAUAAUUGACAUUAAAGGAUAGGAUGAUCCUACGACCUCCUUCCCAAGACAUAGCUAUAAAUAGAGAGCUCAGUUAUAUCAUUGUAAAGGGACUAAUUUUCUGGCAAACUUAUACAAUAUUCUGUACAAAGCUUUAUGUCAUUUACUUUCUUGCUUUUUGAUCUUAUCAUUGCUGUGACCGGAAGUCUUGCUUCCAGAAUCGUUAUUUCCGCUAUUUUAUCUAUAUUUUGAGGCUAAGUAUCGUAUUAUUCUUUAAUUUUUUUAUUAUUUCUGGAUCAAAUUAGUUCACUUAUCUAGAAAUUACGUACAAAUUUAACUGUAUCAUUUUACGAUUAAACAAAAACAACGUCCUUAUUAUUCUUGACGAUAUUUUUGAUGCUUUCUAUCUUAGUGAAGUGGGCAUACCACAACCUGGAGAUCAUGCUGGAAUAUGCAAGGUUAUUUCAACUUCAAGAGAUAUGAACGUUUGCACAUAUUUGAGCAAAGAUGUCUAAGUUGUUAAGUUCGAUACCUUGAGUGAGGAAGAAACUGUUGGUAAAUAAUAUACUUGGCCGUUUUGGAUCAUAUUGAACCAAUUGCA